rnacentral:rRNA from 1 species
UACGGAAGGGGUACAGCGUUGUUCGGAAUCAUUGGGCGUAAAGGGCGCGUAGGUGGCUCUGUGUGUCUACCGUGAAAGCGUACGGCUCAACCGUAUUUUGUCGGUAGAAACUGCAGGACUUGAGGCUGGGAGGGGCUGGUGGAAUUCCCUGUGUAGCGGUGAAAUGCGUAGAGAUGGGGGAGAACACUCGUGGCGAAGGCGGCCAGCUAGACCAGUUCUGACACUGAGGCGCGACAGCGUGGGGAGCAAACAGG